rnacentral:rRNA from 1 species
GAUGAACGCUGGCGGCGUGCCUAAUACAUGCAAGUCGAGCGAACGGACGAGAAGCUUGCUUCUCUGAUGUUAGCGGCGGACGGGUGAGUAACACGUGGAUAACCUACCUAUAAUACUGGGAUAACUUCGGGAAACCAGAGCUACUAACAGAUAAUAUUUUGUACCGCAUGGUUCAAAAGUGAAAGACGGUCUUGCUGUCACUUAUAGAUGGAUCCGGGCUGCAUUAGGUAGUUGGUAAGGUAACGGCUUACCAAGGCAACGAUGCAUGGCCGACCUGAGGGGGGGAUCGGCCACACGGAAAGUGAGAAACGGUCCAGACUCCUAGGGGAGGAAGCAGUAGGGAAUCUGGCGCAAUGGGCGAAAGCCUGACGGAGCAACGCCGGGUGGGUGAUGAAGGUUUUCGGAUCGUAAAACUCUGUGAUGAGGAAAGAACAUAUGUGUAAGUAACCGUGCACAUCUGGCCGGUACCUAAGCAGAAAACCACGGCUAACUCCGG